rnacentral:rRNA from 1 species
UACGGGGGGGGCAAGCGUUGUUCGGAAUUACUGGGCGUAAAGGGCUCGUAGGCGGCCAACUAAGUCGGAUGUGAAAGCCCGGGGCUUAACCCCGGGUCUGCAUUCGAUACGGGCAGGCUAGAGUUCGGUAGGGGAGAUCGGAAUUCCUGGUGUAGCGGUGAAAUGCGCAGAUAUCAGGAGGAACACCGGUGGCGAAGGCGGAUCUCUGGGCCGAUACUGACGCUGAGGAGCGAAAGCGUGGGGAGCGAACAGG